GAUGAACGCUGGCGGCGUGCCUAAUACAUGCAAGUCGAGCGAACAGACGAGGAGCUUGCUCCUCUGACGUUAGCGGCGGACGGGUGAGUAACACGUGGAUAACCUACCUAUAAGACUGGGAUAACUUCGGGAAACCGGAGCUAAUACCGGAUAAUAUAUUGAACCGCAUGGUUCAAUAGUGAAAGACGGUUUUGCUGUCACUUAUAGAUGGAUCCGCGCCGCAUUAGCUAGUUGGUAAGGUAACGGCUUACCAAGGCAACGAUGCGUAGCCGACCUGAGAGGGUGAUCGGCCACACUGGAACUGAGACACGGUCCCGACUCCUACGGGAGGCAGCAGUAGGGAAUCUUCCGCAAUGGGCGAAAGCCUGACGGAGCAACGCCGCGUGAGUGAUGAAGGUCUUCGGAUCGUAAAACUCUGUUAUUAGGGAAGAACAAAUGUGUAAGUAACUAUGCACGUCUUGACGGUACCUAAUCAGAAAGCCACGGCUAAGUACGUG
rnacentral:rRNA from 1 species